AAGGUAAAAUAAAAUUCGCAUUGCUAUUGCACGCGGGCGGCGCCGCGUGCGCGCUGCGCAGCACCGCCGCAGCGCCUCCUAAUUUCCCCUCCGCGCCACCGCCACGUCUCGCCGUUUAACUUCUGAUGGCUCCAUGGCUACAGAUUGUUAAAGUAUCAAUUUUCUAUUGCAUACAAAUAUCGAUUCACAGAGAUUGAGGAUGCUUAAUUGGCCAUCACUGAUCUGCUAACAUGGAAACAGCAGAGAAGGUGAAGUGUAGAGCAUUAAUAUAUGGCUAACAAUGAGAUCACGAGAAUUGAUAGAUUUAUGUUCUGUUAGAUACUUCUUUGUGGCUAUAUUGUUUAUUCGGUUUAAAAGGAGCAUGCCGACCCGACAAUCUCACUAGAACUAAUUCUGUAAGGUCAAAGAAUUCCGGAGAGCCAGAUCUUUUCUGCAGGAUGAUGAUGAAUUGAUAAAACAAAUGGGAGUUUUCAGUGACGAGGGAGGCCAUUCAAACUCUGGGCAUGGCAAACUUUCAAAUUCCAUGCCAAACUAAUACUGCACAAGGGAGCUUCAUUGAUUCUUUUAACUUGAGUAAGAUGCCUCCUUCCAUUGUUUACUUGCUGAAACAGAAAAAGUAGAAAUCUUGUUUAUGUUCUUUUUGCUCUUAGAUUAAUGUAAUUUGAUAAAGUUGAUGUCGUGUGACUUGGGAGGUUACAUGGACCUCAUGGGAGCUUUGUGCAUCAAAUUAUUCUUUAUUAAUGUAAUUCGAUGCCUAAUUAGUAAUCAGUGUGACUUGGGAGGUUACAGGGACCUCAUAUAGUCAUAUUUGUGGGA